UNUUACCAGAAAGGGACGGCUAANUACGUGCCAGCGGCCGCGGUAAUACGUAGGUCCCGAGCGUUGUCCGGAUUUAUUGGGCGUAAAGCGAGCGCAGGCGGUUAGAUAAGUNUGAAGUUAAAGGCUGUGGCUUAACCAUAGUACGCUUUGGAAACUGUUUAACNUGAGUGCAGAAGGGGAGAGUGGAAUUCCAUGUGUAGCGGUGAAAUGCGUAGAUAUAUGGAGGAACACCGGUGGCGAAAGCGGCUCUCUGGUCUGUAACUGACGCUGAGGCUCGAAAGCGUGGGGAGCGAACAGGAUUAGAUACCCUGGUAGUCCACGCCGUAAACGAUGAGUGCUAGGUGUUAGGCCCUUUCCGGGGCUUAGUGCCGCAGCUAACGCAUUAAGCACUCCGCCAGGGGAGUACGACCGCAAGGUUGAAACUCAAAGGAAUUGACGGGGGCCCGCACAAGCGGUGGAGCAUGUGGUUUAAUUCGAAGCAACGCGAAGAACCUUACCAGGUCUUGACAUCCCGAUGCCCGCUCUAGAGAUAGAGUUUUACUUCGGUACAUCGGUGACAGGUGGUGCAUGGUUGUCGUCAGCUCGUGUCGUGAGAUGUUGGGUUAAGUCCCGCAACGAGCGCAACCCUUAUUGUUAGUUGCCAUCAUUCAGUUGGGCACUCUAGCGAGACUGCCGGUAAUAAACCGGAGGAAGGUGGGGAUGACGUCAAAUCAUCAUGCCCCUUAUGACCUGGGCUACACACGUGCUACAAUGGCUGGUACAACGAGUCGCAAGUCGGUGACGGCAAGCUAAUCUCUUAAAGCCAGU
rnacentral:rRNA from 1 species